rnacentral:rRNA from 1 species
UACGUAGGGGGCAAGCGUUGUCCGGAUUUAUUGGGCGUAAAGAGCGUGUAGGCGGCCAGGUAGGUCCGUUGUGAAAACUCGAGGCUCAACCUCGAGACGUCGGCGGAAACCCUCUGGCUAGAGUCCGGAAGAGGAGAGUGGAAUUCCUGGUGUAGCGGUGAAAUGCGCAGAUAUCAGGAAGAACACCCGUGGCGAAGGCGGCUCUCUGGGACGGUACUGACGCUGAGGCGCGAAAGCGUGGGGAGCAAACAGG